UCUGGUCUACAAGGGGUAAUUAAUUAUUGUUUUCGUUUACGUUGAAAAAUCUUUUGUGUGAUUCAAAACUUCUUGAUUAGGUUUAUGUAAUUGUUAUUUUUUGUUUAUUUUUAUUUGUAUUUAAUGAGUUUUUUUUUGUUUUUGUUUAUUAUUUUAUUAUGAAAUGCUUAUUUUUAUUAUAGUUUAUUUUUAAUGUGAGUGGUGAUUUUAUUUACAGUUUAAGAAUUUUUGUUUUAUUUUACCUUUUGUAUCAGGGUUUAUUUAAUAUUGGUUUAUUAUUUGGCUUUCUCGAAUUCGAGGGAUUUAUUUUGAGAUGAUUUUCUGUGUUUUAUAAUGGUUUUUAAUUUUAAUAUAGAAGUGAAAUUCUAUUCGUUCUUGAUGAUAUCUAGUUCUCUGAGAUUUAAAUUUAAUUUUGUUGGAGGUUUGAAUUUUUUUUAUUAUUAAAAGGUUCUGAUUUUUUUCUUAUGGCUGGAGGGUUAAGCUUUUAGUUGAAGGUUAUAAUUAUUUAUUUUUUGUGUUUUAAUUUAGGCUUGUAAUCAGCCAUUGUUUAUAAGUGCGUUUUAGUUUAGAUAAUUUAUUUAUUAUUAUUUAUUUUAUUUAACUUUUCUAUUGGAGUUUAUCCUUGAAUUUUUUUUGGUUAGUAAUUAUGAUUGAAUAAGUAUAUUUUUUUUGUUUAUUAUUUUUUGUUUUUUAAUAUAUUAUAAGGAACUCGGCAAUUUAUGUUUUCGCCUGUUUAUCAAAAACAUCUCUUUUUGGGUUUAUUUAAGGUAGGGCCUGCACACUGAUUAUUUGAAGAGCCGCAGUAUUUUGACUGUGCAAAGGUAGCAUAAUCAUUAGUAUAUUAAUUGUAUACUGGGAUGAAAGGUUUGACGAAAGACAUUCUGUCUCUUAGUAUUGAUUGAAUUUUACUUUCUAGUUAGAAGGCUGGAAUUAAUUUUUUGGACGAUAAGACCCUAUAGAGUUUUAUUAUGUAUUUUUUGGCAGUUUCAGUUGUUUUUAUUUGUCUCUUUUUUAUUUAAUUUGGUUGGGGUGACUUGAGUAAUAAUUAAACUAUUCAUUUGUUUUUUCACUGAUUUGUGUUAUUUAUUGAUCUUUUAUUAUUGAUUUGAAGAUUAAAUUACCUUAGGGAUAACAGCAUAAUUAUCUUUGAGAGUUCUUAUUGACGAGAUAGAUUGUGACCUCGAUGUUGGAUUAAGAUUAAUAUUUUGGUGUAGGGGCUGAAAUAAUAUUGGUC
rnacentral:rRNA from 1 species